UACGUAGGGCGCAAGCGUUGUCCGGAAUUACUGGGCGUAAAGAGCUCGUAGGUGGUUUGUCGCGUUGUUCGUGAAAACUCACAGCUUAACUGUGGGCGUGCGGGCGAUACGGGCAGACUAGAGUACUGCAGGGGAGACUGGAAUUCCUGGUGUAGCGGUGGAAUGCGCAGAUAUCAGGAGGAACACCGGUGGCGAAGGCGGGUCUCUGGGCAGUAACUGACGCUGAGGAGCGAAAGCGUGGGGAGCGAACAGG
rnacentral:rRNA from 1 species